rnacentral:ncRNA from 1 species
GAUCAAGUGUCUUAAGGGCAUUUGGUGGAUGCCUUGGCAUGCACAGGCGAUGAAGGACGUGAUACGCUGCGAUAAGCGUCGGGGAGGUGCGAAUACCCUUUGAUCCGACGAUUUCCGAAUGGGGCAACCCACCUUAGAUAGCUAGAAAAUCAAUUUAGUUGGAGCAACGCUGUAAGGGGUCACACCGAUACAGACCGCUAGGUCGUCGGCCCAUAUGGGCCGCCCCCGCGGAGCGCCAGCAUCCUUUUGGAUGCGUACGGCGCGUGAGCGAGAACUAAAUUAAUUUCUAGUUAUCGUAAUAAGGUAUCUAACCUUGAAUACAUAGGGGUUAGAAGCGAACCUGGGGAACUGAAACAUCUAAGUACCCAGAGGAAAGGACAUCAAACGAGACUCCGCUAGUAGUGGCGAGCGAACGCGGACCAGGCCAGUGGCUUAAUUGAGUAAAGUGGAACAAUCUGGAAAGGUUGGCUAGAGUGGGUGAUAGCCCCGUACACGCAACACGAAAUUAAGUCCUUGAGUAGGGCGGGACACGUGAAAUCCUGUCUGAACAUGGGUAGACCACUAUCCAAGCCUAAGUACUCGUGCAUGACCGAUAGCGAACCAGUACCGUGAGGGAAAGGUGAAAAGCACCCCGACGAGGGGAGUGAAAUAGUACCUGAAACCGAAUGCCUACAAACAGUUGGAGCCCAAGAUUAGUUCUGGGUGACAGCGUACCUUUUGUAUAAUGGGUCAGCGACUUAGUGUAACGAGCAAGCUUAAGCCGGUAGGUGUAGGCGUAGCGAAAGCGAGUCUGAAUAGGGCGUUCAGUUCGUUGCAUUAGACCCGAAACCAAGUGAUCUAGCCAUGAGCAGGUUGAAGGUACGGUAACACGUACUGGAGGACCGAACCCAUAUCUGUUGCAAUAGAUCGGGAUGACUUGUGGCUAGGGGUGAAAGGCCAAUCAAACUUGGAGAUAGCUGGUUCUCCGCGAAAUCUAUUUAGGUAGAGCGUCCAGCGAAUACCCCCGGGGGUAGAGCACUGAAUGGGCUAUGGGGACUCACCGUCUUACUGAUCCUAAUCAAACUCCGAAUACCGGGGAGUACUACUGGGCAGACACACGGCGGGUGCUAACGUCCGUCGUGAAGAGGGCAACAACCCUGACCACCAUCUAAGGUCCCUAAGUUAUGGCUAAGUGGGAAAGGAUGUGAGGAUCCCAAAACAACCAGGAUGUUGGCUUAGAAGCAGCCAUCAUUUAAAGAAAGCGUAACAGCUCACUGGUCUAAAUAAGGGUCUUUGCGCCGAAAAUGUACCGGGGCUAAAGCCAUACACCGAAGCUGUGGAUGCACGUAUGUGCGUGGUAGCGGAGCGUUCCGUAAGCCUGUGAAGGGACAGUCGUGAGACAUCCUGGAGGUAUCGGAAGUGAGAAUGCUGACAUGAGUAACGAUAAAGGGAGUGAGAGACUCCCUCGCCGAAAGUCCAAGGGUUCCUGCUUAAAGUUAAUCUGAGCAGGGUUAGCCGGCCCCUAAGGCGAGGCCGAAAGGCGUAGUCGAUGGGAACCACGUUAAUAUUCGUGGGCCUGCAGGUAGUGACGGAUUGCGUGUGUUGUACAUUCUUAUUGGAUUGAAUGUGCAGCGAAGCGGUUCCAGGAAAUAGCUCCUGCAUAUAGACCGUACCCUAAACCGACACUGGUGGACUGGUAGAGAAUACCAAGGCGCUUGAGAGAACUGCGUUGAAGGAACUCGGCAAAAUGCACGCGUAACUUCGGAAGAAGCGUGACCCUUAUUUAGGCAACUAGAUGAGGGUGGCACAGACCAGGGGGUAGCGACUGUUUACCAAAAACACAGGGCUCUGCGAAGUCGCAAGACGACGUAUAGGGUCUGACGCCUGCCCGGUGCUGGAAGGUUAAGAGGAGAUGUGCAAGCAUUGAAUUGAAGCCCCAGUAAACGGCGGCCGUAACUAUAACGGUCCUAAGGUAGCGAAAUUCCUUGUCGGGUAAGUUCCGACCUGCACGAAUGGCGUCACGACUUCCCCGCUGUCUCCAACGCAGACUCAGUGAAAUUGAAUUCCCCGUGAAGAUGCGGGGUUCCUGCGGUUAGACGGAAAGACCCCGUGCACCUUUACUAUAGCUUUACACUGGCAUUCGUGUCGACAUGUGUAGGAUAGGUGGUAGACUUUGAAGCAGUGGCGCCAGCCAUUGUGGAGUCAUCCUUGAAAUACCACCCUUAUCUAUAUGGAUGUCUAACUGCGGCCCGUUAUCCGGGUCCAGGACCGUGUAUGGUGGGUAGUUUGACUGGGGCGGUCGCCUCCUAAAGAGUAACGGAGG